GACUCUCGGCAACGGAUAUCUCGGCUCUUGCAUCGAUGAAGAACGUAGCGAAAUGCGAUACUUGGUGUGAAUUGCAGAAUCCCGUGCACCAUCUAGUCUUUGAACGCAAGUUACGCCCGAAGCCAUUUGGCCGAGGGCACGCCUGCCUGGGUGUUG
rnacentral:rRNA from 1 species